AGCGCGCCCCGACUUGAACGAAGCUCUUUUUCUUUUUUAGAAAAAAAAGAAAAAAGCGGGAGUGGAAGGCGGAUAAAGGC
rnacentral:misc_RNA from 1 species